rnacentral:rRNA from 1 species
UACGUAGGGGGCUAGCGUUGUCCGGAAUCAUUGGGCGUAAAGAGCGUGUAGGCGGUCCGGUAAGUCCGCUGUGAAAGUCGGGGGCUCAACCCUCGAAUGCCGGUGGAUACUGUCGGGCUAGAGUGCGGAAGAGGCGAGUGGAAUUCCGUGGUGUAGCGGUGAAAUGCGCAGAUAUCAGGAGGAACACCUAUUGCGAAGGCAGCUCGCUGGGACGUAACUGACGCUGAGAACGCGAAAGCGUGGGGAGCAAACAGG